rnacentral:rRNA from 1 species
UGUCUAUGCACAAGCCGAUUCGGUGAAGCCGCGAAUGGCUCAUUACAACAGCCACUGUUUACUUGAUCUUGACAAUCCUACUUGGAUAACUGUGGUAAUUCUAGAGCUAAUACACGCAGCAAAGCUCUGACCUCAGGGGACGAGCGCAUUUAUUAGAACAAAACCAAUCGGUUCAAACCGAAGACUGGUGAAUCUGAAUAACUGAGCUGAUCGCACGGUCUUUGCACCGGCGAUGUAUCUUUCAAGUGUCUGCCUUAUCAACUGUCGAUGGUAGUUUAUGCGCCUACCAUGGUUGUAACGGGUAACGGAGAAUAAGGGUUCGACUCCGGAGAGGGAGCCUGAGAAACGGCUACCACAUCCAAGGAAGGCAGCAGGCGCGCAAAUUACCCACUCUCAGCACGAGGAGGUAGUGACGAAAAAUAACGAGGCGGUUCUCUAUGAGGCCCGCUAUCGGAAUGGGUACAAUCUAAACCCUUUAACGAGGACCUAUGAGAGGGCAAGUCUGGUGCCAGCAGCCGCGGUAAUUCCAGCUCUCAAGGUGUAUAUCGCCAUUGCUGCGGUUAAAAAGCUCGUAGUUGGAUCUGCGCCUCAGGACCUGGUCCUCCCAACGGGUGCGAACUGGGAUCCGAGGCCACAUUGCUGGUCUAGGCCAGAUGUUCUUAGCUGAGUGUCUGGUCUGGCUGGCGAGUUUACUUUGAAAAAAUUAGAGUGCUCAAAACAGGCCAACGCCUGAAUAUCGGUGCAUGGAAUAAUAGAAUAGGAUCUCGGUUCUAUUUUGUUGGUUUUCGGAACCAAGAUAAUGGUUAAGAGGGACAGACGGGGGCAUUCGUAUCGCUGCGUGAGAGGUGAAAUACUUGGACCGCAGCGAGACGCACUACUGCGAAAGCAUUUGCCAAGAAUGUCUUCAUUAAUCAAGAACGAAAGUCAGAGGUUCGAAGGCGAUCAGAUACCGCCCUAGUUCUGACCGUAAACGAUGCCAACUAGCGAUCCGCCGGUGGUAAUUUCGCCCCGGCGGGCAGCUUCCCGGAAACGAAAGUCUUCCGGUUCCGGGGGAAGUAUGGUUGCAAAGCUGAAACUUAAAGGAAUUGACGGAAGGGCACCACCAGGAGUGGAGCCUGCGGCUUAAUUUGACUCAACACGGGAAAACUCACCCGGCCCGGACACCGUGAGGAUUGACAGAUUGAGAGCUCUUUCUUGAUUCGGUGGUUGGUGGUGCAUGGCCGUUCUUAGUUGGUGGAGCGAUUUGUCUGGUUUAUUCCGAUAACGAGCGAG